rnacentral:rRNA from 1 species
UACGAAGGGGGCUAGCGUUGCUCGGAAUUACUGGGCGUAAAGGGAGCGUAGGCGGACAUUUAAGUCAGAGGUGAAAUCCCGGAGCUUAACUUCGGAACUGCCUUUGAUACUGGGUGUCUUGAGUGUGAGAGAGGUAUGUGGAACUCCGAGUGUAGAGGUGAAAUACGUAGAUAUUCGGAAGAACACCAGUGGCGAAGGCGACAUACUGGCUCAUUACUGACGCUGAGGCUCGAAAGCGUGGGGAGCAAACAGG